CACAGUCAAAGUUACAGGAAACAGAGUUGAAGGAAAUCUGUCCAUUCUCUUUCAGAUUGCAGAGCAGAAGAGCAUCCCACUUCUCCAGCUUUCUGUUUCUGAGAACCUGGCUCUAUUUCAGGAUUCUGUCCUGUAGGCCAAGCACUGCUGCCUCAACAAAGCAAAACAAGAGAAGUACAACUCCUUGGAACCUACUUCAGGUUAGCAUAGAAGAGAGGAGGACAUUCUGGCUGGUUAAAAGAGGACUCCCUGUGUUCCAGCUCAAAGGAAGAAUGCACAGAAACACCGAAGCUCGCUCUGGAAAAUGAGUCGACUCAGCUGCUGAAGUGGAAAUAACACAACACUGUGGAGAUAGAAAAUAAAAUCCCAGCACAAUGUCCCGCUUGAGAAGCGCCAGUCCGGGUAAAGACAGUCAGGUGCCAACCCAGCUAAAGACAAAGUCUUCCCCAUGGUGUUCGCUGCCAGAAUUAUAUGCAUUGGUUGAAAAUUUUAAUAAGGACAGUAAAAAAUCAAGUCUCCUAAAAACUCGUAGCAUUUCACCUACAGAAGGACAGAAACUACUUGCUAAAAGCCUAAGCACCAUGGCGUUCAUCAGCAGAACCGGCCUGAGAAGAGAAGAUCCGCAGCCAGUGUUGCCGUGCAGCGUGGUUAAAAGGGAACUCGAGAAGCCGCCGCCCAUGGCUGUGCGCCUGUACCGCAGCUUGCUAGAGGGCAUGCUCUCCCCAGGGGCAGGGCUCCCCAGGUCCCAGAAGAGACUGAUUGAGGAAGGGAUCUCUCCUCCCGCGCACUCUUUUCCUUACAGCGUUAUCCAGGAAGGCUUGGAAGCUCUGGCACAGAUUACCACUGAGAAGACUCAGAUCCCCCAGGUGUUAGACAGUCCACGCCUACUGAAGCUGUUCUUCGAAGACACAGUUCCCAGAUACUUCUUUGUGGACCCAGAAAAGCAAUUCAUGGAUCUAAGAGACCUGGAAUGGAGAUAUUUUAAGGGGCUUGCAAAGUGGAAGCACAUGACUGUGGUUUCAAUCAUGGAGAUAAAAUACAACAGUGAGAAGAGAUUUGUAGAGAGCUGGAACAUGCCUCGUGCUGUUUCCCCCCCUCUAGUACGUAAGUCUUCGGUCAUUUAUCCUGAGAUUGAAUACCGGAAGGAAGGAACUUGUGAUCUUAAAUGGAAUAUUUAGUUUACUGAAAAUAUCUUGGAUGUGGAUUUUUGCUAUUGAGAGCACCGAAAAAGUGAAGAAGAGGCACCCAAUGUAACAUCUGAACAAUAUUCAGGUAAAGCCACAAAAUAAAAAAGCUGUCAAUAUAGAUUAAAACACUCAGGCUAAUCGGCUAGUAUAACAUUUGGUUUUGACCCAUGUAGCCCAUUUGGGCUGAGGCUGAGGUAGAUGUUGAUCCUAUGAAAAUAAAGGCUGCACAGGGAGAGCUCCCAAGCAAGAAUAGCUCUUUUACUUGGCCUGCACAAGGCCCUAAGAUCCAUCCACAGCAGCCCUCCUCCCUACAAAAAUAUAAGCACAUAAGGAAGCCCAUCACCAUAAAAGCAGCUGAUAAAUUUAGCAGAUGGAAGAAUUGACACCUAUGGAUGUAGAGGUCGGUCCGAGAAUUUUAAUGUUAACUGCUUAAGGCAUUAAGGAAGUAGCAUUCAUGAAGCAAGGACUGAAAGAUGUGAAAAAGGAACAAAUUGAAAAUCUCAGAAGUGAAAAGAAAGGCAUUACAAUAAUAAUAACCCUCAGUAAAGUAUCUGACUAUUAUAAUAGACACAUCUGAAAGGAAGGGACUGAUGAUUUGGAAGAGAGCAAUGAAAAGCUUCCAAAUCAUAGCACAGGAGGCUAUGGUAAUGGAAGAUGCAAUGAGAAGUUCACAUCAAAUGGGAGUUGUACUAGAAAAAGGGACACUAGAAAAGAGGUGCUGUUUAACUGUAUUAAAUCUGAACAUACCUGUUGUAUAUGAAUUAAAGUAAAUGACUAACUCUUUGGAAAUGAAGAAGCAAGACUUGAAUUGAAAAAUCUCACUGAUAAGCAAGAAAUGAAAAAUAAAUCUAUGCCUGGAAACUCUAUGGAAAAACUAUAGAGCAUUAAGCAUUAAAGGAAAGUAUAAUCUAAUGGAGACAGGCUACAGGCAAAGAAACAACAAACUAACAAGGGAACUUGCAUUAGCAACAGAUGUCAGAAGGUGAUGGUGUCAGCACAAAAUGCUGAGGGAAAACAGUCACCCAGAGUUUUCUAACCAGCGAAACUCUCUAAAUAGAGCUGAUAAAAUAAAUGCAUUAAAAAAUAUAGUAUAUAAGUAUCGGGGACUUGGCCUAGCCCCCAAUUUCCUAAAACAAGUUACAGCAAAGGCCUACAUUAAAAAGAGACAAGUAUGGUUUUGGGGAAUUCAGGAAGGUCAGAAUUCUCGGAGAGUACAGGCCACAAGUUUUCCCGAUCACCCCUGUUUACUAGGUUUUCACAGAUUUGGGGGGAGGUGCAGGAAGGGGAGUGCACAUCAGGGGCAAAAGCCGGUGAAAACGACCAGGGUCCUGAGAAACAAAGUCCAUAGUCCAAGGUGGCAGGCAGGAAGCAGCAGGCAGCAGCAGCAGCAAGCCUGCCUUCUGUCUCUUUAUAUCCAUGCAGGCUGUAAAGCUAUAGAUUGGUGCCACCCCUACCCAGGGGGGAGCUUCCACAGUCCACCUCCUUAAUCCCAGUAUCAUACCCAUAAUCCCCAUCUACAUGCCCUAAUCCAGCCACCUCUGAAACUCCCUACUAUGACCACGUGAGGCUUUGGGGGGAACAUCUAGAUCUAAGCCAUGACAGGGGGCUUUUUCUAAACUUUUAGUAGAUAGGUAUCUUUUAUUAUUUUAACUGCACAAUUAUCAUUUCAGAAAGAGCUAAUCUGAUACUGUCUUUUAAAUAGGCCUCUCAUUUUCAUCAGGUCAUUUAUAUGUAUUGGUAGCGUCGCUGGCCCCAAAAUUUAAACAGCAUACAUGCGACUCUCAUUGAGCCAGGUGCUUUGUCUGUGGCUAAACUGAAAAAUGCUGAGCUAAGCAUUUUCUUAAACACCACCUUCUAACUUUCACUUAAAGCUUCGUCUUUUAAACACAAGAGCGCCAAACAAGUUUUGGGGGCUUGCAUUAACCAGCCAAGACAUUAGCUAAAAGCAAGACUUUCAAAGUAAUUUUAUUAGGAAAUCAACCCUAAAUGAGACCUGAAUAUCAAUAUCUAUACCGAACAGACCUUGCUGUCGGAUCUAGGAUUUGUAUUUUUUUUUUUUUUCCUGGUACCGGGAAUCGAACUCACCACCUCGCGCUUGCCAGGCAGGCGCGGUGCCGCUGAGCUAAAUCUCCAGCCCCCUGUAUUUUUCAUUUAUUAUGAGUACCUCAUUGCAGCACGUGAGGGCUGUAUUCAUCGUGGGAGCUGGUCCAUGCAUGCACACAACCUCUUCCUGCUUUUCCUGUCCCUUUCUCCUCCCCUCCCUCCCUCCCUCCAUCUCUUGGACCCUUUUCCAUUUGCGAAGGACCUAGCUCCCUAGGUUCCUUGGAGCUAGGGUCUGCCGUGUCGCCCAGACCGACCAGACCCGUUGAAGGGUUGCGGCCACCCUGGAGCCCGGCCGCACCCUGUGCGGAGCAGUUGCGGCUGCAGGGACGGGAGAGUACCGGAGCGGAUGAGGAAGGGAAGGGCGUGGGACCGGGAGGGGGAGAGGAGGGGUGGGACGGGAUGGGGAGCCAGUGCCCCUGCCACUCGGUUCGACACCUGGCUGCUGUGCAGCGCAGCCCCCGGGGAGCACCCGCACUUCUGGCUGGGGUUGGCGCAGCCUCAGCAGUGUCACCUGGAGAAGUCCUAGGGGUCCCGAGGGCCGCGCACGGACCUCCGACAGCUCCGCUCCCUGCGACCUCCGCCGCGGUCAGCGAAGGGUCCAUCGAGGGCCGCCUCAGGAAGGCCCGAUGGAGUCCUCUGCUCCAGCUCCCUCGGCCUCGGGGACCGGCUCCCCGACCCCACCCGCGGGGCCGCCGUCUCCCCGCCCGCGCGUCCACCGUCUCCCCGCCCGCGCGUCCCGUCUACCGCCGCAGGGACCCGGGAGCCGCUCGGUCCGCAGGAGGAGUUGGUCCCUGCCCCACGACGGCAGUUAUGCUUGCUUCAGCAAAAGACACUGUCUGAAGUGUGCACGGAGGGUGCGGGUGCUCACCAGGCGCUGGGUAUUUGCGCGCACAGCUGUGUUCCUGCGCGAACUUCCCCCAGCGCUGCGCUUGGAACUAGGCUUGUCUUCAUGCAUGCUGCUGCUCUGCAAAAAGGUUUCCAAAAGUGUUUAAGGUAUGCUAGCUUCAUAGAAUGGGAGAAGUUUUCAUCUUUGUAAGGCCACAAGUAUUUAAAUCAGAAAUGCUUAUUCUUUGAAAUGUAGCUAGAACUCAGCACUACAAGCACCCAGUCAUGUCUUUUCUUGCUGUUUUUAUUAUAAAAAUACUCAAACACUGACAAAAAUAAAGACAAGUGUAUAAUGAACCUGCAGAUACCCACCAUCUAACUUCAACAGUUACUA
ensembl:lincRNA